GAGAGUUUGAUUAUGGCUCAGGAUAAACGCUGGCGGUGUACAUAAGACAUGCAAGUCGAACGGGAGAAGACAGGAAGAUUUAUCUACUUGUUGGACACCGUGGCGGACGGGUGAGUAACACGUAAGCAACCUGCCUAUAAGAGGGGAAUAACAGUGAGAAAUUACUGAUAAUACCGCAUAAGCUGAAGGUAUCGCAUGAUACAUUCAGAAAAGAUUUAUCGCUUAUAGAUGGGCUUGCGUCUGAUUAGCUAGUUGGUGAGAUAACAGCUCACCAAGGCGACGAUCAGUAGCCGGAUUGAGAGGUUGAACGGCCACAUUGGGACUGAGACACGGCCCAGACUCCUACGGGAGGCAGCAGUCGGGAAUAUUGCACAAUGGAGGAAACUCUGAUGCAGUGACACCGCGUAUAGGAAGAAGGUCUUAGGAUUGUAAGCUAUUGUCGUGUGAGAAGAAAAUGACCAUCACAGGAGGAAGCCCUGGCUAAAUAUGUGCCAGCAGCCGCGGUAAUACAUAUGGGGCGAGCGUUAUCCGGAUUUAUUGGGUGUAAAGGGUGCGUAGGCGGGAAAAUAAGUCAGUAUGUGAAAUCCCUCGGCUCAACUGAGGAACUGCAACUGAAACUAUUUUUCUUGAGUGUUGAAGGGGAAAGUGGAAUUCCUAGUGUAGCGGUGAAAUGCGUAGAGAUUAGGAUGAACACCAGUGGCGAAGGCGACUUUCUGGGCAACAACUGACGCUGAGGCACGAAAGUGUGGGGAGCAAACAGGAUUAGAUACCCUGGUAGUCCACACCGUAAACGAUGGAUACUAGGAGUUGGCAAAAAUAUUGUCGGUUCCGCAGUUAACGCAUUAAGUAUCCCACCUGGGGAGUACGACCGCAAGGUUAAAACUCAAAGGAAUUGACGGGGGCCCGCACAAGCAGUGGAGUAUGUGGUUUAAUUCGAAGCAACGCGAAGAACCUUACCAGGGCUUGACAUAUACAGGAAUAUAUAAGAGAUUAUAUAGCUCUACGGAGUCUGUAUACAGGUGGUGCAUGGUUGUCGUCAGCUCGUGUCGUGAGAUGUUGGGUUAAGUCCCGUAACGAGCGCAACCCCUAUGGCUAGUUGCUAACAUUAAGUUGAGGACUCUAGCAAGACUGCCGUUGUUAAAACGGAGGAAGGUGGGGACGACGUCAAAUCAUCAUGCCCUUUAUGUCCUGGGCUACACACGUACUACAAUGGGUAAGACAGAGGGAAGCGAAAGUGCGAACUGGAGCAAAACCCUAAACUUAUUCUCAGUUCGGAUUGGAGUCUGAAAUUCGGCUCCAUGAAGCUGGAAUUGCUAGUAAUGGCAGGUCAGCAUACUGCCGUGAAUACGUUCCCGGGCCUUGUACACACCGCCCGUCACACCAUGAGAGUUGGGAAUACCCGAAGCCUGUGAGCUAACUUUUUAAGAGGCAGCAGUCGAAGGUAGAAUCAAUGAUUGGGGUGAAGUCGUAACAAGGUAGCCGUAUCGGAAGGUGCGGUUGGAUCACCUCCUUC
rnacentral:rRNA from 1 species